rnacentral:rRNA from 1 species
AGGAAAUAGAUACCCGGGUAGUCCACGCCGUAAACGAUGGGUACUAGGUGUCUGGGGGAGCGACCCCCUGGGUGCCGGCGCUAAACGCAUGAAAGUACCCCGCCUGGGGAGUACGGCCGCAAGGCUGAACUACAAAGGAAUUGGACGGGGCCCGCACAAGCGGUGGAGCAUGUGGUUUAAUUCGACGCAACGCGAAGAACCUUACCUAGGCUUGACAUGCUGGAGAAAGCUUGCGGAAACGUGAGCCCCUCUUCGGAGUUCCAGCACAGAUGCUGCAUGGCUGUCGUCAGCUCGUGUCGUGAGAUGUUGGGUUAAGUCCCGCAACGAGCGCAACCCUCACUCUUAGUUACCAGCGGGUAAUGCCGGGGACUCUAGGGGGACUGCCGGUGCCGAAACCGGAGGAAGGUGGGGAUGACGUCAAGUCAUCAUGGCUCUUACGUCUAGGGCUACACACGUGCUACAAGUGGGCCAGACAGAGGGUCGCCAACUCGCGAGAGUGAGCC